GGGGCUGUAGUGUAGCUUGGCUAUCACUCGUGGUUCGGGGCCACGCAACCCCGGUUCGAAUCCGGGCAGCCCCA
rnacentral:tRNA from 1 species